rnacentral:misc_RNA from 1 species
UUUGUUUUUUAAUUAAAAACUAGAAUGAAAGGUUAUACAUUCAAAUUUCUUUAUUAAUUUUUAAUAAAUAAUUUAUAUUAAAUAUAAAAAUAUAUUUAUAAAAAAAAAAGACGACAAGACCCUAUUAAAUUUUACUUAUAGUUUAGCUGGGGAAGCUUUUCAAUUAAAAUUUUUUAAAAUCUUAAAAUAAAUAUCUAAUUAAAAUUAAAAUUUAAAUAAAUUACUAUAGGGAUAACAGCAUUAUAUUUUUUAAAAGUUCAUAUUAAAAAAAAAUGAUUGUGACCUCGAUGUUGAAUUAUAUUUUCUAUAUUUAAUGCAAUAAUUAUAAAAGUAGAUCUGUUCGAUCUUUAAAAUAUUACAUGAUUUGAGUUCAAACCGGUGUAAACCAGGUUGGUUUCUAUCUUUUUAUAUAUUUUUCCAGUACGAAAGGACAAAAAAAUUUUUAUUUUAAUAAAUUAGCAAAUAAAUGCAUUAGAUUUAGAAUCUAAAUAUAUUUAAAUU